CUUUCCCCUUCGGGGGACAAAGUGACAGGUGGUGCAUGGUUGUCGUCAGCUCGUGUCGUGAGAUGUUGGGUUAAGUCCCGCAACGAGCGCAACCCUUAAGCUUAGUUGCCAUCAUUAAGUUGGGCACUCUAAGUUGACUGCCGGUGACAAACCGGAGGAAGGUGGGGAUGACGUCAAAUCAUCAUGCCCCUUAUGAUUUGGGCUACACACGUGCUACAAUGGACAAUACAAAGGGCAGCGAAACCGUGAGGUCAAGCAAAUCCCAUAAAGUUGUUCUCAGUUCGGAUUGUAGUCUGCAACUCGACUACAUGAAGCUGGAAUCGCUAGUAAUCGUAGAUCAGCAUGCUACGGUGAAUACGUUCCCGGGUCUUGUACACA
rnacentral:rRNA from 1 species